rnacentral:misc_RNA from 1 species
GAUGAAGAACGUAGCGAAACGCGAUAUGUAAUGUGAAUUGCAGAAUUCAGUGAAUCAUCGAAUCUUUGAACGCACAUGGCGCCUUCCAGUAUCCUGGGAGGCAUGCCUGUCCGAGCGUCGUUUCAACCCUCGAGCCCCCGUGGCCCGGCGUUGGGGAUCUGCCCAGGCAGUCCCCGAAAACCAGUGGCGGACCCGUUACAGGCCCUUCCCUUGCGUAGUAGCAUUCGCCUCGCAUCGGGAGCCGGCGGGCUUCCAGCCUCUAAACCCCCAUCAAGUCCGCCCCGGCGGCACCAAGGUUGACCUCGGAUCAGGUAGGAAUACACGCUGAACUUAAGCAUAUCAAUAAGCGGAGGA